GAUGGACGCUGGCGGCGUGCCUAAUACAUGCAAGUCGAGCGAACGGACGAGAAGCUUGCUUCUCUGAUGUUAGCGGCGGACGGGUGAGUAACACGUGGAUAACCUACCUAUAAGACUGGGAUAACUUCGGGAAACCGGAGCUAAUACCGGUUAAUAUUUUGAACCGCAUGGUUCAAAAGUGAAAGACGGUCUUGCUGUCACUUAUAGAUGGAUCCGCGCUGCAUUAGCUAGUUGGUAAGGUAACGGCUUACCAAGGCAACGAUGCAUAGCCGACCUGAGAGGGUGAUCGGCCACACUGGAACUGAGACACGGUCCAGACUCCUACGGGAGGCAGCAGUAGGGAAUCUUCCGCAAUGGGCGAAAGCCUGACGGAGCAACGCCGCGUGAGUGAUGAAGGUCUUCGGAUCGUAAAACUCUGUUAUUAGGGAAGAACAUAUGUGUAAGUAACUGUGCACAUCUUGACGGUACCUAAUCAGAAAGCCACGGCUAACUACGUG
rnacentral:rRNA from 1 species